CCUAAUCUGAUUAGAAAACACAAACUGUGAAACUAUACACCAUUAAAGGAACUCCAAAUAGUUCUCUUCUGAUGCCUAACACCAAAGGAAACAUAAUCAAUAACCACAUCGAAGCAUUCUUAUUCUUAACAUCAGCCUAAUCUUAAAUCUUGAUAUAGUUCCUCCUAAUCCUCGAGUACUAGCUUAAGUUCGAAGCAAGAGGAUGACAAGUUACAAUCAAAAAGGAAACUUUUUUUCAAGUUGGGUAGAGAGAAGAAUCUCUUACUGAUCAAAGAAGGGUUAUAGCGAU